GGUUGAAGACAUGGGUUGAUGGAUCUGGUGGUAUGAUCUGAUCUUAACUUCGGCCCAUUAUGAUUCAUGAAUCCAGAUAACCAUCUUGAGCGAAAUUUCUAGGAUCGGCCAUUUCUGACUUCUGCAUCAGAUUUACCUUUGUCUCCAUAAUAACUAGUCGUUAGCACUUACCCAGCACUGUAGCUAGUAGAACGUCCGGACAUGCCGAUUUCUGACUUCAACCAUGGAUAUACAUUGGCCUCCGAUCCUCAUCCCAUUGAGCGAGAUCUGCCCCAGCCAUCUUUUUUCUUCAGCAUCUAUUUCCAUUGGAUCUAUCCGAACUAUUAGUUAAAGGGGCUAGGCCGAUCCAACCUAUACCCUCAUUUCAAAAUUCAAAAACACCCACGACACAAUUGGCUCUGAAAUAGAAAAAGUAGGUGCAAUAACCAUCCCAUCAAUUUCGAUCGGGAGUCUUGUCACAUCGUGUCAGAAUUAAUCUCAUGAUUUUUCACAAUGGUUUCAUGACUUUAGCCUACAAAAAGAACCUACAGGGGACCCCUCAAGGUACAUAACCAUAAUCUUCCUAUACUCCUCAUCUGUUUUCCUGUUAUCUGACUCGAGUAUCGGAGGGUCUCCGUUGGAGCCAACUAUAAUCAGGACUUGCUUGCAGAUUUUUUUUCGGGAGGAUGAGCCACCACUCUAGCUUUUUCGACCAUGAUCUAGAUUUUAAUGACAACAGAUUGACCCUAGAGGAAGAGUCCCGAUCCGAUCGUGAGAAGGAGCACCAGUCAGAGAUUAUGGCACCAUGAAGAGUGUCCAUCCAGAGAUCUGGUACCAUCGUAGCCUUCUAGCCAAUGGAGAAUGCGGUCGGCCAACCAGUUCUGGCAUAACCACAGUCAGAAGUUCAGCAAUCACCUCCCUAACAGGUGGUAAUUGUCAGCAUGGAGCAAUUUUAUUUACUGUUCUAGCAAGUACAAACUCUAAUUACCGCCAUUCAGACGAUACAGCAGCUCCAUACUAUACCGCCGAUGGUAAUACUAGCAGCAACGGCUGUAGCCACACCUCCAUCAGCCAACGCAGUACUGAUGGUGGGUGGAUCCACACUUGAUGGCCCCCCUACAACAGCCUGCAGCAGCACCGCAGGUGCAACCACCACUCCCUCCGCAAAGUCCUGAAUGAGAGAGACAGACUCACUACAGUCAGCCUCGGAGCCUAGAACCUAGAAGACGACAGUCACCAAGUCCUCAUUUUAGGCGGGACUCAACGUCUAGUCGACAGUCUCCCCCUUAAUAUUUGAAAAACUAUAUUGCUAGAGAUGCAGACAUCGACCAUCGUCUCUGGGAGAUGAAUGAGUGGAUCGAAGCAAUCUACAACC
rnacentral:lncRNA from 1 species